UACGUAGGUGGCAAGCGUUGUUCGGAAUCACUGGGCGUAAAGCGCGUGUAGGCGGCUCUUCAAGUCAGGCGUGAAAGCCCCGGGCUUAACUCGGGAACUGCGCUUGAUACUGUCGAGCUAGAGUGUGGAAGGGGCGAUUGGAAUUCCGUGUGUAGCGGUGAAAUGCGUAGAUAUACGGAGGAACACCAGAGGCGAAGGCGGAUCGCUGGGCCAACACUGACGCUGAGACGCGAAAGCCAGGGGAGCAAACGGG
rnacentral:rRNA from 1 species